GCUAAACAACAGUGACAUCCUGUCUCUAAAUAAAAUAUUAAAACGGCUGGGGAUGCAGCUCAGUGGUCGAGCACCCCUGAGUUCAAUCCCUGGUACCCCCUCCCCCCCAAAAAAAAACCCCACAACUUUUUAUCAAAUCAUAACAUACAUUUGGGAAAGUGCACAAGUUGCCAAAGCACCGCUCAGUGAAUUUCCGCCAACUCAGCGCACCUGUGUGUCCAGCCAGCAGGUCAAGAAAUGCAGUUAGCAGCUUCCUGGGAUCCUGGGGCCAGCACUCCUGCUUACGCUGGGUUCUUUCAAUUGCUUCUCCUUUGACAUGGAUGAUACACUUGCAGAGCUCAAAAUCCAAAAGCCACAAAAGAGAAUAAACUGACAAGAAGUCUCCUCUGCUCUCAGCCACUCAGUUUAGGUUCUCAGAGGCAAUUACUGUGAUGCAGGGACUUAGGAGCUCCUGCAGGGAGGAUCAACAGUUAGGGAAAUCAUGUACGUCACAGAUUUUUCACCCAAGUGAAAGCAUGUUAGAUUCUUUGCUUUAUAGUUGGAUUUUUUUCUCCUUUGCUAAUACUUCUUAGAGACCCUUGGUGUUCAAGGAACUGGUCCAUACUUUUUCACAGCUGCAUAGUGCUCCACGAGGCACUUGGAACUGUCUUCCUGGGCAGGGGACAGUUAAUUGUCCAUGAGUGAGCUGAAGGUCAGUUCCAUCCAUGUGACUUGGGAGAAGCACAGCUGUGGACCAAUACCUCUGGGGGUGAUUUUCCUAACACUGCCCCUCCCCCACCAUCCACACUUUCCCCCUCCAGGAUGCACCAGCCCAGCCAAGGUUCUCCAGGCCAACUUGGGGCCAGAGGAGCAACGUUGUCCAGAGAGAAGAAAACCAGGGCUGAGGGGACAUGGAAUAACCAACCCCAGCCAGAUCACCUCACACGCACUGCCCCCAAGCACAACGCACUGAUCAUCUCACACGCACUGCCCCCAAGCACAACGCUCCAUUGUGAGGGCAUUCUGUAAUUAGAGGGUUUACAGAAGCAUCAAUUCUGUAAUACCUUCCCGCAUCCCACCUUCUCCUCCUGCUGUCUGUUUGACCUCACAUGGUUCUGCUAUCUGAAGUCCAGACCUGACAGCUACAUGCAACGCAUGCCCUUGAACUGGAUC
rnacentral:lncRNA from 1 species